rnacentral:rRNA from 1 species
GAUGAACGCUGGCGGCACGCCUAACACAUGCAAGUCGAACGAAAAUUUAGAUUUUAGAUUUUAGAUGUUAGAAUUUCGAUUUAUUCGAAUCUCUAACAUCUAUCGUCUAGCUUCUACUUUUUAGUGGCGGACGGGUGAGUAACACGUUGGAACCUGCCCCGAAGAGGGGGAUAACCAUCCGAAAGGGUGGCUAAUACCCCAUAUACUCCGAUUUAUUCGGAGGAAAGCUUUCGCGCUUCGGGAGGGGCCUGCGUAACAUUAGCUUGUUGGUGAGGUAAAAGCUCACCAAGGCUACGAUGUUUAGCUGGUUUGAGAGGAUGAUCAGCCACACUGGGACUGAGAUACGGCCCAGACUCCUACGGGAGGCAGCAGUGAGGAAUAUUCCACAAUGGGGGCAACCCUGAUGGAGCGAUGCCGCGUGCAGGAAGACGCUUUUCGGAGUGUAAACUGCUUUUAAAGGGAAGAUUAUGACGGUACCUGUAGAAUACGGACCGGCUAACUACGUGCCAGCAGCCGCGGUAAUACGUAGGGUCCAAGCGUUAUUCGGAAUUACUGGGCGUAAAGCGUACGUAGGCGGUUUGAUAAGUUGGAUGUGAAAUCCUGUGGCUCAACCACAUGGACUGUGUCCAAAACUAUCUAACUAGAGCAUAGUAGAGGCAAGUGGAAUUUCUGGUGUAGGAGUGACAUCCGUAGAUAUCAGAAGGAACACCAAUGGCGAAGGCAGCUUGCUGGGCUAUUGCUGACGCUCAGGAACGAAAGCGUGGGGAGCGAACGGGAUUAGAUACCCCGGUAGUCCACGCCGUAAACGAUGAUCACUAACAGUAUGGAGAUUCGACCCUCUGUGUUGUAAAGCUAACGCGUUAAGUGAUCCGCCUGGGGAGUACGGGCGCAAGCUUAAAACUCAAAGGAAUUGACGGGGACCCGCACAAGCAGUGGAGGAUGUGGUUUAAUUCGACGCUAAGCGAAGAACCUUACCGAGGUUUGACAUCCCAGGAAAUCAAGCGAAAGCUAGAUGUGCCUUCGGGAACCUGGUGACAGGUGCUGCAUGGCCGUCGUCAGCUCGUGUCGUGAGAUGUUGGGUUAAGU